UAGAUGCGAGAGUAGAGCAUAUCAAUAAGCGGAGGAAAAGAAACUAACUAGGAUUCCCUUAGUAACGGCGAGUGAAGCGGGAAGAGCUCAAAUUUGAAAUCUUCAAGGUUUUACCUUGACGAAUUGUAGUUUAAAGAAGUGUUUUCUGUUGGAGUUUUGGUAAAAGUUCUUUGGAAUAGGACAUCAUAGAGGGUGAGAAUCCCGUAUUUGACCAUUAUUUUCAGCUGUGUGAUACACUUUCAAAGAGUCGGAUUGUUUGGGAAUGCAGUCCAAAAUGGGUGGUAAAUUUCAUCUAAAGCUAAAUAUUGGCGAGAGACCGAUAGCGAACAAGUACCGUGAGGGAAAGAUGAAAAGAACUUUGAAAAGAGAGUUAAACAGUACGUGAAAUUGUCAAAGGGAAGCGUUUGACACCAGUGUUGUUUUCUCGAAAAUCAAUUACGAAUGUUUUGUUUUUGAGGAGUUAUGACUUCAUCGGCUUGCUCCUUUCUUUAUGAAACUUUCUUAAUGCACUUUUCGGUUAACAAGCCAACAUCAAUUUCUUUUGUUGUAAAAGGGUAUGAGGAAGGUGGCUUUCUUUUCGGAGAAAGUGUUUAUAGCCUUGUGCCUCUGCAAUCGGAGAGAUUGAGGUCUGCAGCGUAGAUCCUUCGGGGUUAGAUACGUUUGUGCUAAGUUAUAGCUUUUCAUAGACAACUUGUUGACCAUGUUUAGUCUUGUAGCUUACUCGCUGACGCUAUUUUACCUACGCUUAGGAUGUUGACACACGCGCGUGCUC
rnacentral:rRNA from 1 species